GAGAUCCUAGCUUAGUUAAAGCACUUGGGUUGCAUUCAGGAGAUACAGGUUAAUAUCCUGUGGAUCUUA
rnacentral:tRNA from 1 species